AUUGAACGCUGGCGGCAGGCCUAACACAUGCAAGUCGAACGAGUGGCGGACGGGUGAGUAAUGUCUGGGAAACUGCCUGAUGGAGGGGGAUAACUACUGGAAACGGUAGCUAAUACCGCAUACCAUCAGAUGUGCCCAGAUGGGAUUAGCUAGUUGGUGGGGUCACGGCGCACCAAGGCGACGAUCCCUAGCUGGUCUGAGAGGAUGACCAUCCCGACUGGAGCUGAUGCACGGUCCAGACUCCUACGGGAGGCAGCAGUGGGGAAUAUGGCACAAUGGGCGCAAGCCUGAUGCAGCCUUGCCGCGUGUAUGAAGAAGGCAUGCGGGUUGUAAAGUACUGUCAGCGGGGAUGCGUUACCCGCAGAAGAAGCACCGGCUAACUCCGUGCCAGCAGCCGCGGUAAUUC
rnacentral:rRNA from 1 species